rnacentral:rRNA from 1 species
UACGUAGGGUGCAAGCGUUAAUCGGAAUUACUGGGCGUAAAGCGUGCGCAGGCGGUUAUGCAAGACAGAUGUGAAAUCCCCGGGCUCAACCUGGGAACUGCAUUUGUGACUGCAUGGCUAGAGUACGGUAGAGGGGGAUGGAAUUCCGCGUGUAGCAGUGAAAUGCGUAGAUAUGCGGAGGAACACCGAUGGCGAAGGCAGGUCUCUGGGCUGACACUGACGCUCAUGCACGAAAGCGUGGGGAGCAAACAGG